rnacentral:rRNA from 1 species
AGCAGUAGCCGCGGGAAUACGUAGGGUGCGAGCGUUAAUCGGAAUUACUGGGCGUAAAGCGUGCGCAGGCGGUUUUGUAAGACAGGCGUGAAAUCCCCGGGCUCAACCUGGGAAUGGCGCUUGUGACUGCAAAGCUAGAGUGCGGCAGAGGGGGAUGGAAUUCCGCGUGUAGCAGUGAAAUGCGUAGAUAUGCGGAGGAACACCGAUGGCGAAGGCAAUCCCCUGGGCCUGCACUGACGCUCAUGCACGAAAGCGUGGGGAGCAAACAGGAUUAGAUACCCCGGUAGUCCCUGUCUCUUAUAC